UACGGAAGGCAGCAGGGGGAAUAUUGCACAAUGGGCGCAAGCCUGAUGCAGCCAUGCCGCGUGUAUGAAGAAGGCCUUCGGGUUGUAAAGUACUUUCAGUCGUGAGGAAGGUGUUAAGGUUAAUAACCUUAGCAAUUGACGUUAGCGACAGAAGAAGCACCGGCUAACUCCGUGCCAGCAGCCGCGGUAAUACGGAGGGUGCGAGCGUUAAUCGGAAUUACUGGGCGUAAAGGGCACGCAGGCGGUUAAUUAAGUUGGAUGUGAAAUCCCCGGGCUUAACCUGGGAAUGGCAUUCAAGACUGGUUAGCUAGAGUCUUGUAGAGGGGGUAGAAUUCCGAUGUGUAGCGGUGAAAUGCGUAGAGAUGUGGAGGAAUACCGGUGGCGAAGGCGGCCCCUGGACAAAGGCUGACGCUCAUGUGCGAAAGCGUGGGGAGCAAAC
rnacentral:rRNA from 1 species